GAUGAAGAACGUAGCGAAAUGCGAUAAGUAGUGUGAAUUGCAGAAUUCAGUGAAUCAUCGAAUCUUUGAACGCACAUUGCGCCCCUUGGUAUCCCGAGGGGCAUGCCUGUUCGAGCGUCAUUUCACCACUCAAGCCUGGCUUGGUGUUGGGCGACGUCCUCUUUGGGGACGCGCCUCGAAACGCUCGGCGGCGUGGCACCGACUUUAAGCGUAGCAGAAUCUUUCGCUUUGGAAGUCGGGGCCCCGUCUGCCGGAAGACCUGCUCGCAAGGUUGACCUCGGAUCAGGCAGGGAUACCCGCUGAACUUAAGCAUAUCAAUAAGCGGAGGA
rnacentral:misc_RNA from 1 species